AACGUAGGAGACAAACGUUAUCCGGAGUUACUGGGCGUAAAGGGCGUGUAGGUGGUUCUGUAAGUCUGGCGUGAAAUUUCUCGGCUUAACCGAGGCAGGUCGUCGGAUACUGCAGGGCUAGAGGACGGUAGAGGCGUGUGGAAUUCCGGGUGUAGUGGUGAAAUGCGUAGAGAUCCGGAGGAACACCAGUGGCGAAGGCGGGUCUCUGGGCAACUACUGACGCUGAGGAGCGAAAGCGUGGGGAGCGAACAGG
rnacentral:rRNA from 1 species